AUACGGAGGGUCCAAGCGUUAUCCGGAAUCAUUGGGUUUAAAGGGUCCGCAGGCGGUCAAUUAAGUCAGAGAUGAAAGCCCAUCGCUCAACGAUGGAACUGCCUUUGAUACUGGUUGACUUGAGUUAUACGGAAGUAGAUAGAAUAAGUAGUGUAGCGGUGAAAUGCAUAGAUAUUACUUAGAAUACCGAUUGCGAAGGCAGUCUACUACGUAUAUACUGACGCUGAGGGACGAAAGCGUGGGGAGCGAACAGGAUUAGAAACCCCAGUAGUCC
rnacentral:rRNA from 1 species